rnacentral:rRNA from 2 species
AAAUUGAAGAGUUUGAUCAUGGCUCAGAUUGAACGCUGGCGGCAGGCCUAACACAUGCAAGUCGAACGGUAACAGGAAGCAGCUUGCUGCUUCGCUGACGAGUGGCGGACGGGUGAGUAAUGUCUGGGAAACUGCCUGAUGGAGGGGGAUAACUACUGGAAACGGUGGCUAAUACCGCAUAACGUCGCAAGACCAAAGAGGGGGACCUUCGGGCCUCUUGCCAUCAGAUGUGCCCAGAUGGGAUUAGCUAGUUGGUGAGGUAACGGCUCACCAAGGCGACGAUCCCUAGCUGGUCUGAGAGGAUGACCAGCCACACUGGAACUGAGACACGGUCCAGACUCCUACGGGAGGCAGCAGUGGGGAAUAUUGCACAAUGGGCGCAAGCCUGAUGCAGCCAUGCCGCGUGUAUGAAGAAGGCCUUCGGGUUGUAAAGUACUUUCAGCGGGGAG